rnacentral:rRNA from 1 species
UACAGAGACUGCAAGCGUUAUCCGGAUUCACUGGGUUUAAAGGGUGCGUAGGAGGGCAGGUAAGUCAGUGGUGAAAUCCCCCGAGCUUAACUUGGGAACUGCCGUUGAUACUAUCUGUCUUGAAUACCGUGGAGGUGAGCGGAAUAUGUCAUGUAGCGGUGAAAUGCUUAGAUAUGACAUAGAACACCAAUUGCGAAGGCAGCUCGCUACACGAAUAUUGACUCUGAGGCACGAAAGCGUGGGGAUCAAACAGG